rnacentral:rRNA from 1 species
CUAGCUGUAAACGAUGGAUACUAGGCGUUGGGAGUAUCGACCCUCUCAGUGUCGUAGCUAACGCGUUAAGUAUCCCGCCUGGGGAGUACGCGCGCAAGCGUGAAACUCAAAGGAAUUGACGGGGGCCCGCACAAGCGGUGGAGUAUGUGGUUUAAUUCGAUGCAACGCGAAGAACCUUACCAGGGCUUGACAUGUCCGGAACCCUGCCCAAAGGCGGGGGUGCCUACGGGAACCGGAACACAGGUGGUGC